rnacentral:rRNA from 1 species
UACGUAGGGUGCGAGCGUUGUCCGGAAUUAUUGGGCGUAAAGAGCUCGUAGGCGGUCUGUCGCGUCGGUCGUGAAAACUUGGGGCUUAACCCUGAGCUUGCGGUCGAUACGGGCAUGACUGGAGUUCGGCAGGGGAGACUGGAAUUCCUGGUGUAGCGGUGAAAUGCGCAGAUAUCAGGAGGAACACCGGUGGCGAAGGCGGGUCUCUGGGCCGAUACUGACGCUGAGGA